UAUUAAGGUCUUUACACACCGGGACGUUUUUCGGGCGCGUUUAUCGUCGACGUUUAACGUCUCGUGACUCAAGAACGAGCGCCAAUGUGAGUGCGCACACCCACGCGAAAAGCGCGACGCGCAAAAGCGUCAUUUUCAGAAAAACGCCUCGGACGCGUUUUUUUGGUUUGACGCGGCGCGUUAAAAGUUGGCCGACCAAUGAGAUUGGCGCUUUUGUUCACGUGCCUGGCGCUGCUGAAGUUCCAGUAAAACACGACUUGGCGGCGCUCAAGCACAAAAUGGUCUUGCGGAGCACGUGGAACAGGUAAACACAAAGAUGCAUCGAGGCUGUGGAGGUUUAUGAAGGUGUCGGAGUUCCUCACAUCAUCGACUGAAUUUCGAAGUGUUCACAGCAAUAUUUCUGCUAAAAUGAUGUGAGCAAAAGUGAGGAGGCCCCAGCAAGCACGUCUUCAGGAUCAUCCAGCACCAGCCGUGACAAGGUCCAAUCUAAACAAAAGAAAACAGUCCGAGACGAACCUCUGGAGAUGUACCUCUUAUCAAAAGAUGCUAAAGGGAAAAAAUUGAAAGCGAAGCACAGAAGAGAGAAAGAAGAGCACAGAAGUAGCGCUCUGCCAGUUUUGGGUCACACCUAUAGAUGUUUAUUAUAUACCAUUUAUAUUUAGUUAUUUUUUUAAUGUUUAUACAUUCAAGAAAUACAGUUGAACAUGUACAUUUCAUAGAUAUGUUUAUUUGCACUACAGUUCACUUAGACUUCUAUCAUUGUGACUUAUUUGCUCUACAGCUCUGCCAGUUCUUGUUCACACAAAUUAAUGUUUAUUAUAUACCAUUUUACUUAUGUAUUUUAAGUGUUUAUACGUUUAAGAAAUACAUUUGAAAAUGUCUAAUUUCUAAAUGUUGAUUUGCACUCCAGUUCUUGUUCACACAAAUUAAUGUUUAUUAUAUACCAUUUUACUUAUGUAUUUUAAGUGUUUAUACGUUUAAGAAAUACAUUUGAAAAUGUCUAAUUUCUAAAUGUUGAUUUGCACUACCGUUCAGUUGCACUACAUUCAUUGUGACUUUUCUGGAGUGGACCAACAUUUCUGAAUCCUGUUUUAUUUGGUUUUACUGUCAUGUCUCUGAUUGUUAUUGCAAACUGCAGUUCAUUCACACAAAUAAAUGUUUGAUAAAAAAAAAGAAUUGUAAAUAACGUGACAUUUUGGCACUAUGAAUAUAUUUGUACAUCAGUA